rnacentral:tRNA from 1 species
GUGAGUGUAGCUCAAUCGGCAGAGCACAGGACUGUGGCUCCUGGGGUUGAGGGUUCGAUCCCCUUCACUCACC